rnacentral:rRNA from 1 species
GAUGAACGCUGGCGGCGUGCCUAAUACAUGCAAGUCGAGCGAACGGACGAGAAGCUUGCUUCUCUGAUGUUAGCGGCGGACGGGUGAGUAGCACGUGGAUAACCUACCUAUAAGACUGGGAUAACUUCGGGAAACCGGAGCUAAUACCGGAUGAUAUUUUGAACCGCAUGGUUCAAAAGUGAAAGACGGUCUUGCUGUCACUUAUAGAUGGAUCCGCGCUGCAUUAGCUAGUUGGUAAGGUAACGGCUUACCAAGGCAACGAUGCAUAGCCGGCCUGAGAGGGUGAUCGGCCACACUGGAACUGAGACACGGUCCAGACUCCUACGGGAGGCAGCAGUAGGGAAUCUUCCGCAAUGGGCGAAAGCCUGACGGAGCAACGCCGCGUGAGUGAUGAAGGUCUUCGGAUCGUAAAACUCUGUUAUUAGGGAAGAACAUAUGUGUAAGUAACUGUGCACAUCUUGACGGUACCUAAUCAGAAAGCCACGGCCAACUACGUG